rnacentral:rRNA from 1 species
UACGGAGGGGCUAGCGUUGUUCGGAAUUACUGGGCGUAAAGCGCACGUAGGCGGCUUUGUAAGUUAGAGGUGAAAGCCCAGGGCUUAACCCUGGAAUUGCCUUUAAGACUGCAUCGCUAGAAUUGUGGAGAGGUAAGUGGAAUUCCGAGUGUAGAGGUGAAAUUCGUAGAUAUUCGGAAGAACACCAGUGGCGAAGGCGACUUACUGGACACAUAUUGACGCUGAGGUGCGAAAGCGUGGGGAGCAAACAGG